rnacentral:rRNA from 1 species
AUUGAACGCUGGCGGCGUGCUUAACACAUGCAAGUCGAUCGGUAACGCGGGGGCAACCCUGGCGACGAGAGGCGGACGGGUGAGGAACGCUUGGGAAUCUGCCUAUCAGCGGGGGACAACACGGGGAAACUCGUGCUAAUACCGCAUACGCUCUACGGAGGAAAGCCGGGGACCGCAAGGCCUGGCACUGAUAGAUGAGCCCAAGCCGGAUUAGCUAGUUGGCGGGGUAACGGCCCACCAAGGCGACGAUCCGUAGCUGGUCUGAGAGGACGAUCAGCCACACUGGGACUGAGAAACGGCCCAGAAUCCUACGGGAGGCAGCAGUGGGGAAUAUUGGACAAUGGGGGAAACCCUGAUCCAGCGACGCCGCGUGGGUGAAGAAGGCCUGCGGGUUGUAAAGCCCUUUCGGUAGGGACGAAAGCUCUCGACCUAACACGUCGGGAGGUUGACUUAACCUACAAAAGAAGCACCGGCUAACUCUGUGCCAGCAGCCGCGGUAAGAC